UUUUUUUGGUGUUAUGUACUCAGGUGAAUAUGAUGUUUGUGAUGUUACUUAAUUGUAUCACAAACAUCAUAUUCACCUGAGUACUUAUGUAUU